rnacentral:rRNA from 1 species
GGGUUGUGAGGUUAAGCGACUAAGCGUACACGGUGGAUGCCCUGGCAGUCAGAGGCGAUGAAGGACGUGCUAAUCUGCGAUAAGCGUCGGUGAGGUGAUAUGAACCGUUAUAACCGGCGAUUUCCGAAUGGGGAAACCCAGUGUGUUUCGACACACUAUCAUUAACUGAAUCCAUAGGUUAAUGAGGCGAACCGGGGGAACUGAAACAUCUAAGUACCCCGAGGAAAAGAAAUCAACCGAGAUUCCCCCAGUAGCGGCGAGCGAACGGGGAGGAGCCCAGAGCCUGAAUCAGUGUGUGUGUUAGUGGAAGCGUCUGGAAAGGCGUGCGAUACAGGGUGACAGCCCCGUACACAAAAAUGCACAUAUUGUGAGCUCGAUGAGUAGGGCGGGACACGUGGUAUCCUGUCUGAAUAUGGGGGGACCAUCCUCCAAGGCUAAAUACUCCUGACUGACCGAUAGUGAACCAGUACCGUGAGGGAAAGGCGAAAAGAACCCCGGCGAGGGGAGUGAAAAAGAACCUGAAACCGUGUACGUACAAGCAGUGGGAGCCUCUUAAUGGGGUGACUGCGUACCUUUUGUAUAAUGGGUCAGCGACUUAUAUUCUGUAGCAAGGUUAACCGAAUAGGGGAGCCGAAGGGAAACCGAGUCUUAACUGGGCGUUAAGUUGCAGGGUAUAGACCCGAAACCCGGUGAUCUAGCCAUGGGCAGGUUGAAGGUUGGGUAACACUAACUGGAGGACCGAACCGACUAAUGUUGAAAAAUUAGCGGAUGACUUGUGGCUGGGGGUGAAAGGCCAAUCAAACCGGGAGAUAGCUGGUUCUCCCCGAAAGCUAUUUAGGUAGCGCCUCGUGAAUUCAUCUCCGGGGGUAGAGCACUGUUUCGGCAAGGGGGUCAUCCCGACUUACCAACCCGAUGCAAACUGCGAAUACCGGAGAAUGUUAUCACGGGAGACACACGGCGGGUGCUAACGUCCGUCGUGAAGAGGGAAACAACCCAGACCGCCAGCUAAGGUCCCAAAGUCAUGGUUAAGUGGGAAACGAUGUGGGAAGGCCCAGACAGCCAGGAUGUUGGCUUAGAAGCAGCCAUCAUUUAAAGAAAGCGUAAUAGCUCACUGGUCGAGUCGGCCUGCGCGGAAGAUGUAACGGGGCUAAACCAUGCACCGAAGCUGCGGCAGCGACACUAUGUGUUGUUGGGUAGGGGAGCGUUCUGUAAGCCUGUGAAGGUGGCCUGUGAGGGUUGCUGGAGGUAUCAGAAGUGCGAAUGCUGACAUAAGUAACGAUAAAGCGGGUGAAAAGCCCGCUCGCCGGAAGACCAAGGGUUCCUGUCCAACGUUAAUCGGGGCAGGGUGAGUCGACCCCUAAGGCGAGGCCGAAAGGCGUAGUCGAUGGGAAACAGGUUAAUAUUCCUGUACUUGGUGUUACUGCGAAGGGGGGACGGAGAAGGCUAUGUUGGCCGGGCGACGGUUGUCCCGGUUUAAGCGUGUAGGCUGGUUUUCCAGGCAAAUCCGGAAAACCAAGGCUGAGGCGUGAUGACGAGGCACUACGGUGCUGAAGCGACAAAUGCCCUGCUUCCAGGAAAAGCCUCUAAGCAUCAGGUAACAUCAAAUCGUACCCCAAACCGACACAGGUGGUCAGGUAGAGAAUACCAAGGCGCUUGAGAGAACUCGGGUGAAGGAACUAGGCAAAAUGGUGCCGUAACUUCGGGAGAAGGCACGCUGAUAUGUAGGUGAAGCGACUUGCUCGUGGAGCUGAAAUCAGUCGAAGAUACCAGCUGGCUGCAACUGUUUAUUAAAAACACAGCACUGUGCAAACACGAAAGUGGACGUAUACGGUGUGACGCCUGCCCGGUGCCGGAAGGUUAAUUGAUGGGGUUAGCGGCAACGCGAAGCUCUUGAUCGAAGCCCCGGUAAACGGCGGCCGUAACUAUAACGGUCCUAAGGUAGCGAAAUUCCUUGUCGGGUAAGUUCCGACCUGCACGAAUGGCGUAAUGAUGGCCAGGCUGUCUCCACCCGAGACUCAGUGAAAUUGAACUCGCUGUGAAGAUGCAGUGUACCCGCGGCAAGACGGAAAGACCCCGUGAACCUUUACUAUAGCUUGACACUGAACAUUGAGCCUUGAUGUGUAGGAUAGGUGGGAGGCUUUGAAGUGUGGACGCCAGUCUGCAUGGAGCCGACCUUGAAAUACCACCCUUUAAUGUUUGAUGUUCUAACGUUGGCCCGUAAUCCGGGUUGCGGACAGUGUCUGGUGGGUAGUUUGACUGGGGCGGUCUCCUCCUAAAGAGUAACGGAGGAGCACGAAGGUUGGCUAAUCCUGGUCGGACAUCAGGAGGUUAGUGCAAUGGCAUAAGCCAGCUUGACUGCGAGCGUGACGGCGCGAGCAGGUGCGAAAGCAGGUCAUAGUGAUCCGGUGGUUCUGAAUGGAAGGGCCAUCGCUCAACGGAUAAAAGGUACUCCGGGGAUAACAGGCUGAUACCGCCCAAGAGUUCAUAUCGACGGCGGUGUUUGGCACCUCGAUGUCGGCUCAUCACAUCCUGGGGCUGAAGUAGGUCCCAAGGGUAUGGCUGUUCGCCAUUUAAAGUGGUACGCGAGCUGGGUUUAGAACGUCGUGAGACAGUUCGGUCCCUAUCUGCCGUGGGCGCUGGAGAACUGAGGGGGGCUGCUCCUAGUACGAGAGGACCGGAGUGGACGCAUCACUGGUGUUCGGGUUGUCAUGCCAAUGGCACUGCCCGGUAGCUAAAUGCGGAAGAGAUAAGUGCUGAAAGCAUCUAAGCACGAAACUUGCCCCGAGAUGAGUUCUCCCUGA